rnacentral:ncRNA from 2 species
GAACGUUCUCGGGGCGGGGUGAAAUUCCCCACCGGCGGUAAUCGCGCGAUUGCGCGUAGCCCGCGAGCGCUUGCCGGCACGCAUGUGCCCGGCAAGGUCAGCAGACCCGGUUGGAUUCCGGGGCCGACGGUCAAAGUCCGGAUGAGAGAGAGCGGGG